rnacentral:lncRNA from 1 species
AGGAAUUUGAGGCAAAAACCACAGAGGGAUGCAACUCGCUGGCUCACUCACAAGUCACGCUGGGCUGGCUCUCCUCUCACACAGACCCACUUGCCUAGCGAUGGUGCCACCCACAGCGGGCUGCGCCCUCCCUCCCAUAUCAGUUAAUGAUCAGGACAGUCCCUCACAGGCACUCCCACAGGCCACACUGAGCUGGGCAAUCCGUCAAGUGAGGCUUCCUGCUCAGGUGACUCCAGGUUGUGUCAAUCUACAGUUAAACCUAACCGAGACGGCAGGUAAAAGCAGUAGAAGAAAGGAUGGAUAGACAGAAAGACAGUCAUGCCCACAGAAAGUCCCUUGGGUGACAGCUGGACCAGUGGGCAGCCUGCAGCACGGGAGCCAAUGGGGAGCCAGGGUUCAGUAACCAUCACAGCCAGUUAAAUACAGAAACCAGAGCUUCAGAUUGAGCAGCACAGCAGAGCCAAAAGUGGCCACCCCAUGAGCGGGCUAACUGGACUGAGCCCUGCGGGCCCCGCGUGUCGACCUGAUGACCUCUCGCUACAUGGACUGCUCACUGUGCCCUGCACACCUGCGCCCUCCUCUCACCUCUCCUCACUCGUCUUUGGCACCCAAUCUUCUCAACUUUCCCUCCUUUUGCGGGAUGCCAGCUGGCACCCAGCCAGCCCUGCUCCCCCCGCCUGCUGCCCUUCCUGGACACAGGCCCAUGAAGGAUGAGGAAGGGCCCGCGGUGGCUGGCCGG